rnacentral:rRNA from 1 species
UACGAAGGGGGCUAGCGUUGCUCGGAAUCACUGGGCGUAAAGCGCACGUAGGCGGCUUUCUAAGUCAGGGGUGAAAUCCUGGAGCUCAACUCCAGAACUGCCUUUGAUACUGGAGAGCUUGAGUCCGGAAGAGGUGAGUGGAACUCCGAGUGUAGAGGUGAAAUUCGUAGAUAUUCGGAAGAACACCAGUGGCGAAGGCGGCUCACUGGUCCGGUACUGACGCUGAUGUGCGGAAGCGUGGGGAGCAAACAGG